GAGUUUGAUCAUGGCUCAGAAUGAACGCUGGCGGCGUGCUUUACACAUGCAAGUCGAGCGGAGGCAUGAUCAAAGGGCAACCGGAGAUGAUGCCUCAGCGGCAAACGGGUGAGUAAUGGACAGGUAACGUACCCCCAAGACGUGGAUAGCUUAUCGAAAGAUGAGAUAAUACGCGAUAAUGUUGCAUCGCGACAGCGGUGCAAAGAAAGCGGGCGCAAGCUCGCGCUUCCGGAUCGGCCUGUCUCCUAUCAGCUAGUUGGUGGGGUAACAGCCUACCAAGGCGAUGACGGGUAGCUGGUCUAAGAGGAUGGUCAGCCACAUUGGAACUGCGACACGGUCCAGACUCCUACGGGAGGCAGCAGUGGGGAAUCAUGGUCAAUGGGCGAAAGCCUGAACCUGCGACGCCGCGUGAGUGAUGAAGGUCGUAAGAUCGUAAAACUCUUUUCAGGGAUAUUAAAGCUCCGGCUCUAACAUAGCCUGGAGUGUGACUCUCCCUGGAAUAAGCCCCAGCCAACUACGUGCCAGCAGCCGCGGUAC
rnacentral:rRNA from 1 species